rnacentral:rRNA from 1 species
UACGUAGGGCGCAAGCGUUGUCCGGAAUUAUUGGGCGUAAAGAGCUCGUAGGCGGUCUGUCGCGUCGGAUGUGAAAACCCAGGGCUCAACCCUGGGACCCUGCAUUCGAUACGGGCAGACUAGAGUUCGGUAGGGGAGACGUGGAAUUCCUGGUGUAGCGGUGAAAUGCGUAGAUAUCGGGAAGAACACCAGUGGCGAAAGCGCUCUACUGGGCCAUAACUGACACUGAGGGACGAAAGCUAGGGGAGCGAAAGGG